AGCUUUGCAAAGUGGCAGUGUCAUAGCCAAUGAGGUUUCUCCGAGGCGUGAUUAUUGCUAAUUGAAAAGAGUUGAAAUCAUGUUCUCUGGAAUUUAAAUUGGAGAUCAAUAGGAAGAUAUAAGGAAAAUCUCCAAAUAU